CCCGCGGCUCCCUAUUCUGGGAAUCCGUGCCAAACAAAGAACGGAGCUGGAGCAUGAAGACCCGCUUUCAGUUUCCCCUUCCUGCCGCUCCCAGCCUCUGCCCAGCCCAGGGCGAGUCCUUUGUAGCUGCUGGGAGCAGGGCAGAGAGCACAACGGGAGCCUGGGGCAGGGAACAACCCCUCCAACCUUCCGUGGAGCAGAAGCAGGGGUGAGGAGGGCAGAAGCGCCUGAGAGUUUCAAAGGGUGGAGAUGCAGCAAGUUAUCCCACGGGCCCGAGACCAUGGGGCCCCUGGGCCACAGCUCCGAUGGCUUCAGCCAAGUCCACUGACUUACAGCGGGGUCCUUGUAUCGCUGGGACAUUCCACACCCACUUUCUCCCCGAGAGCCAGCAACCACACUUCCCUGGGAUUUUUAUUCCUGAGUGAAGACUAGCUGAAUGCAAUGGCUCCAGUGGAAAAUGCCAAAGCCUCGGGGAAUAGGAUCCCAGAGUCAGCCUAAAGCUGGGUGCCCAGGAGAUCCACCUGGCCAGGAACGUCCGCAUUCCCUUGUGUUCAAAAAAUUAACAUUGACUAAACCACACAGAUUUCAGGGUUGUUACAAUUAGCCUCCUGACUAAUACAGAUCACAUAUUCUGCUGGGGGCCCACGGAGUUCCUCGGUUGGCCAGUUCUCUUGUUACCAUCCCACAGAUCACCCCCCUACACGAACUAGCACAGAAACUGCAGCUGAAAUCAGACCAUGGUCAUUAUUCACCUAAACAUCCUGAAAAAUUAAGUAAGUGACAGAGAAGUUUUCUGGUAUGGGUUUUCAGACAAAAGAGGAACAGUCCCUCUGCUCCCCAGAAAAGUAUUCUCAUCUCAAGUGUUGGGCGGAUGAUUCACUCAUUCAUUCUCAAAAAUGCAUCUUGAGUGUCUGCUCUGUACACUAAAAGGACUUAGGAAACACAGUGAAGUUGUGAUCAAGACAGAGAUAAUCCCCUUGCCUCACAGCGGAUCCACAUUACAAACAGGGACGAAGACAAUGAACAAAUAAUAUGUAAUAAGUGCUCGGAAGGAUGAAACAGAACACAAGUUCAAUGAAAGCAAGUAUUUUCCAACUACUUUGUUCAUGGCUGGGUCCCCAGCAGCUAAAACAGUAACUACUACGUAACAGAUGCUCAAUGUUCAUUGAAUGAAUGAGUAAGUAAAUAAAGUGAUCACAUUCCCUCAGCCCAACCAUCUCCUGCCUCUGAAGCAUCUUUGAGUUGCCGUGGUUGUUUGAAAGUUAUUUCUUAAAUUGGUCCCAUUCUAAUUGCCCCUCUAGAUUCUGUGUCAUUCAUUUUAACAGAGGCCGGAAGACUCAGUCUCUGCGGUAGGAUCCUGUCCUAUCAGUUAAGGGAGGGAAGGGGAGCCUUAUCUCCCACCGGACCCCACCGACAAGGCGCCCUCCAGGAAGAGUGUUGUUGUAGAAGCACAAACACAGAUACCUAGACUGACGACUGUAAAAUGGGGGAUUCUCCCGGGUUUACUAAGCUUAAAGGUUCCUGAGUUUCACCCGCAGGAGUAAGGGGGAGAGGGUUGGGGGGGUUUCUACGUCUUGUAAUUCCAUUUUCUUCAAUCUAGCUUAGUUUUGCAUUUUCGGUGCGGAUGAGUCAUUUGUUACUUCCCUUUUGCCUUUUUAAAACACACACACCUUUUCCCCUGUGCAUAAUCCCUACUCCCACGCAGAGCACGGCAGCCCCGCAAAUCUUCUCUUAGUUCCUAACUGGCCCCUGGAUGAACCUGGGGUAGGGUGGGCGGGGAUGGUUUCGGGCUUGUGCGGGUUUCUGAACAAGCUGCCUAUAUGAUACCAGAUGAUAGGCUCUGGCAUCAUAGACGUCACUGACUGGAGGGCAGAGAAGUCCCUUCUCCACCCAACCCCACUGUGAAAUUUCUUCGGAACAACAUAAGCUUCUGGAAAUUCCCUACGGAAAAGACAAGUCUAUCACAAACACAAUUAAAGGAAAACUGCCUGGAGAAAAUCUACCCAAAUCGUCUAAGAACUCCCAACUUCUGAAUUAAAGCAUGCAAAGAUUCCGCACAGCCCCAUCUAUCAUCCGGAUGGACCCGUGCUCCCCUGCUGUUCCGAUCUGCAAAAUAAAACAUCCCUAAACUCUGUAAUUUAACUCUCAAAUUCUGCAAAACGUGCAACCCAGCAUGCCUUUGCCUCAUGGGAUUCCCCCAAUCAAUGAAUGGAAACGCUGCCUUCCCCUAUGAGAUAGCUGCCCAGAAACAGCUCCUUUCUCCCACGGCUGGGAGCAGCGAGUAUGAAAAAGCUGCUUUUAGCGAUAUAUUUUGUCACCGCCUAGAGAUACAACACAUACUGCCUGCUCCCUGGGCUCCCAACGCGGCAUCCCCACGCCACUUCUCUGGCUGUUUAAGGAAAGCCUGCCAGAGCCGAAGUCGGACCCAAGAAAUCACAGCGCUCCACGCACUUUCCAAAACGCACGCCAGCCCGAGAAGCGCGCGUCCCCCGCGCCAUGCGCCGCGUCUCGGGUUCUAAAAAGCAGCCCGCGGCGAGGAGCGCGCGGAACCGUAACUCCAUCUUUGAAUGAGUCUGUUACUUACCCUGC